GACGAACGCUGGCGGCGUGCCUAAUACAUGCAAGUUGAGCGCUGAAGGUUGGUACUUGUACCAACUGGAUGAGCAGCGAACGGGUGAGUAACGCGUGGGGAAUCUGCCUUUGAGCGGGGGACAACAUUUGGAAACGAAUGCUAAUACCGCAUAAAAACUUUAAACACAAGUUUUAAGUUUGAAAGAUGCAAUUGCAUCACUCAAAGAUGAUCCCGCGUUGUAUUAGCUAGUUGGUGAGGUAAAGGCUCACCAAGGCGAUGAUACAUAGCCGACCUGAGAGGGUGAUCGGCCACAUUGGGACUGAGACACGGCCCAAACUCCUACGGGAGGCAGCAGUAGGGAAUCUUCGGCAAUGGACGAAAGUCUGACCGAGCAAUGCCGCGUGAGUGAAGAAGGUUUUCGGAUCGUAAAACUCUGUUGGUAGAGAAGAACGUUGGUGAGAGUGGAAAGCUCAUAAAGUGACGGUAACUACCCAGAAGGGGACGGCUAACUACGU
rnacentral:rRNA from 1 species